UCGAACGCGAAAGCUCCCUUCGGGGAGCAAGUAGAGUGGCGCACGGGUGAGUAACACGUAGGUAAUCUACCUUUGGAUUGGGAAUAACAACCGGAAACGGUUGCUAAUACCGAAUAAUGCAGCGGCACCUAAUGGUGACAGUUGUUAAAGCGGGGGAUCGCAAGACCUCGCGUCUAAAGAGGAGCCUGCGGCGGAUUAGCUAGUUGGUAAGGUAACGGCUUACCAAGGCGAUGAUCCGUAGGCGGCCUGAGAGGGCGGUCGGCCACACUGACACUGACAUACGGGUCAGACUCCUACGGGAGGCAGCAGUCGGGAAUUUUGGGCAAUGGGCGAAAGCCUGACCCAGCAACGCCGCGUGAAGGAUGAAAUCCCUCGGGAUGUAAACUUCGCAAGAACGGGAAGAAUAAGUGAGAGUUAAUAUCUCUUACGAUGACGGUACUGUUUGUAAGCUCCGGCUAACUCCGUGCCAGCAGCCGCGGUAAUACGGGGGGAGCAAGCGUUGUUCGGAUUUACUGGGCGUAAAGGGCGCGUAGGCGGCCACCGCAAGUCGACUGUGAAAUCUCCGGGCUUAACCCGGAAAGGUCAGCCGAUACUGCGGGGCUAGAGUGCAGAAGGGGCAACUGGAAUUCUCGGUGUAGCGGUGAAAUGCGUAGAUUUCGAGAGGAACACCUGCGGCGAAGGCGGGUUGCUGGGCUGACACUGACGCUGAGGCGCGAAAGCUAGGGGAGCGAACGGGAUUAGAUACCCCGGUAGUCCUAGCCUUAAACGAUGAAUGCUUGGUGUCUGGGGUUUUAUAGUCCCCGGGUGCCGUCCCUAACGCUUUAAGCAUUCCCCCUGGGGAGUACGGUCGCAAGACUGAAACUCAAAGGAAUUGACGGGGACCCGCACAAGCGGUGGA
rnacentral:rRNA from 1 species